UUAUACUCCAUUGAUUCGCACAUAACACAUUUACUAUACCUUCUUGGAUUGGGACUUUUAGGAAAGAUAUAUAUCCCUCCUGUCCUUACUUUCUAUACACAAACUUUUCCUUUUAAUCUCAUUCCCGGCUUAUCUCCGGUAUUAUCAAAAUUAUCUUUUUUUAUUUUAUAGGCGACAAAAGUUGUCUUUUGCCCCUUCAUUAUCCUAGCUAUUACUAACGUUGUUACAAGGUCAUUUGAUUUUCUAAAUCCUAGCGAUAGGACCGCUUCGAAGUCUUUAACGUUCGACGUUAGAUUAUCUGGUUGAUUUUUCGCGGCUGGUAAUUCGUUCUGCAUAGCUUGAUCGUCCAUAUUCGCAAAAAUUCUGUGUCAGGUCUGGUUGUCCUCCAGCUUUGUUCACAAGUCCUUUUAUCCUUUGGUUUCGUUUUCGUUUUGACGACAAUAUCGUAAAUUAUUCUUACAUUCUAGCCUUAUCGUAAACGCUUAACAUAUAACUCAAAACUUUCUAUUCAACUAAUCGUGUACUCAAAAUAUUAGAUUUUGAAAACUCAGUUUACUGUAUAACUAGUGAUCAGAUAAAUAUCUAUUAUCUUUAUACCAACUUAUCCCAUUAAUCCAACAUAAACCCAUAUUCAUAACACUUGACACACCAUAACACAUAUUGCUUUAAACAUUCGCUAUCCCUUUGUGACUCAAGAGUCGGGAAUCGCUGCCAUAACUUAUACAAAAUAUUACAUUAUACCAAUCAUACCUAUCAUAUAUACCACCUAAAAUUAUACAUAUUCAACUAAUACUAACACUACCUAUUCCUUACACCUUCACUAACGAUGAAUUACUUAGUAACCUAUCUAUUCCUAUUAUCCUCAAUAUCCAUUCACACAUAACUGUAUCAAGUUUGUCACAACUUUCAACACCUUAUGAGUUUAAGAACUCAUCACAAACAUAUGAGUUUAAGAACUCUACAUUGACCACUUAUAAUCCUUUAGCUAUACUUUACCUAUCAGUUGUACUUAGCGUUUCUUGAUCCAGUACUAUACUUUCUAAAUUAACCACCUCUUUGAGGUAGCUUUCAAUGUGAGCCUCUAUUGCAGCUAUUGGCUUUGAUAUUGGCUCGGUCAUGGAUGUUGACUUAGUCUUUACAACUUAAGAGUAUCCUAAUUCUAUUCCUUUUUAACACCUACACACAAAAUUAUCUUGACUAGCAAAUAAUAAAUACACACAGUACAUAAUAGUUUUAUAAGUUAUCUUUUAUUUUGUUUGAUAAUGAAUUUAUUCAAUUCAUCUCCUUUUUAAACUCUAUAUGAGUUAUUUAUAUUUUCAACGUUUCCCCCUAUUCUAAGGUUAUAGCCUAAGGUCUAACCCACCUAAGGUUUCUAACCCUAUAGCUCUGAUACCAACUUGUAGAGUCCCCGAAUCCAGAUACUUGAAACCCAAACUCGGUACUUUACGAUACCAUUUCUAUGAGCGGAAUAAUACUAAUAAUAAUAACAAUAAUAUAAAUUUCAAACUUAUCUUACAUUUAUCAGAGUCUAAUCCCAAGUACGCAACCUUUACUACAUUCUUUACAUGAUAUAUAAUACAUAUCAUUAACUUAAUACAGUCUAUCUAUUACAAAAGAUACCAAUAACAGAUUCUGUUUGCUUUCCUUUUUCACUUGUUCCUGGCCGAGCCUUCUACCUUUUCACACUUAGCUGAAAACAUUUAAAUUAAGCAAGGAUGAGCAUUUGAGUGCCCAGCAAGUAUUAUAUAUAUAUAAGCUGAAAGAAUUUAAAUGUUUUCUUUAUAAUAUUCUUCUACAACCAGUCAAUAGUUGUGAAGUAAUCAGUACCAAUAAUAAUAACAUAACAACCCUCGUUCAAGUUUUUGAAACUAUGUAUUGUUUAUAUACAAGGUUUUUUUUUGUGACAUAUCAUGAACAUUGUUUUCAUUUUCGAAAAGGUUAAACAGAAAUUCAUCUGUAAACCAGCAUUGCUUACGGGCCUGAGGGUGUACAGUCCAUGCGCCCUGUAUUGAUUAAUACUACAUUGCUAGAACGAUAUUAUCGUUCAUCCUUUGUCCGCCGUAGCGCAUAAAAAUUUUUCCAUUAUCGGGAUGUUCAUUUCUGUCGGGUUUUCA
rnacentral:lncRNA from 1 species